rnacentral:rRNA from 1 species
AACGAACGCUGGCGGCAGGCCUAACACAUGCAAGUCGAGCGAGAAGCCACCUUCGGGUGGGGGACAGCGGCGGACGGGUGAGUAAUGCGUGGGAAUAUGCCCUUUGGUACGGAAUAGCCCCUGGAAACGGGGAGUAAUACCGUAUGUGCCCUACGGGGGAAAGAUUUAUCGCCAAAGGAUUAGCCCACGUUGGAUUAGCUAGUUGGUAAGGUAAUGGCUUACCAAGGCGACGAUCUAUAGCUGGUUUGAGAGGAUGAUCAGCCACACUGGGACUGAGACACGGCCCAGACUCCUACGGGAGGCAGCAGUGGGGAAUAUUAGACAAUGGGCGCAAGCCUGAUCUAGCCAUGCCGCGUGAGUGAAGAAGGCCCUAGGGUUGUAAAGCUCUUUCAGAUGUGAGGAUGAUGACAGUAACAUCAGAAGAAGCCCCGGCUAACUUCG